rnacentral:rRNA from 1 species
AAANNUGGNNGCAAACAGGAUUANNUNCCGUGGUAGUCCRUGCCGUAAACGANGAGUGCUAAGUGUUGGAGGGUUUCCGCCCUUCAGUGCUGCAGCUAACGCAUUAAGCACUCCGCCUGGGGAGUACGACCGCAAGGUUGAAACUCAAAGGAAUUGACGGGGGCCCGCACAAGCGGUGGAGCAUGUGGYUUAAUUCGAAGCAACGCGAAGAACCUUACCAGGUCUUGACAUCCUUUGACCACUCUAGAGAUAGAGCUUCCCCUUCGGGGGCAAAGUGACAGGUGGUGCAUGGUUGUCGUCAGCUCGUGUCGUGAGAUGUUGGGUUAAGUCCCGCAACGAGCGCAACCCUUAUUGUUAGUUGCCAUCAUYMRGUUGGGCACUCUAGCAAGACUGCCGGUGACAAACCGGAGGAAGGUGGGKAKGACSUCAAAUCWUCAUGCCCCUUAUGACCUGGGCUACACMCGUGCNUACAAUGGGAAGUACAACGAGUUGCGAAGUCGCGAGGNUAAGCUAAUCUCUUAAAGYUUCNUCUCAGUUCGGAUUGCARGCUGCAACUCGCCUGCAUGAAGCCGGAAUCGCUAGUAAUCGCGGAUCAGCACGCCGCGGUGAAUACGUUCCCGGGCCUUGUACACACCGCCCGUCACACCAMGAGAGUUUGUMACACCCGAAGUCGGUGAGGUAACCUUYUUGGANCCAGCYGCCUAAGGUGGGAUAGAUGAUUGGGGUGAAGUCNNAAACAAGGUAG